CAAGUCGAGCGGUAACAUUUCAAAAGCUUGCUUUUGAAGAUGACGAGCGGCGGACGGGUGAGUAAUGCCUGGGAAUUUGCCCAUUUGUGGGGGAUAACAGUUGGAAACGACUGCUAAUACCGCAUACGCCCUACGGGGGAAAGCAGGGGACCUUCGGGCCUUGCGCUGAUGGAUAAGCCCAGGUGGGAUUAGCUAGUAGGUGAGGUAAAGGCUCACCUAGGCGACGAUCCCUAGCUGGUCUGAGAGGAUGAUCAGCCACACUGGGACUGAGACACGGCCCAGACUCCUACGGGAGGCAGCAGUGGGGAAUAUUGCACAAUGGGGGAAACCCUGAUGCAGCCAUGCCGCGUGUGUGAAGAAGGCCUUCGGGUUGUAAAGCACUUUCAGCGAGGAGGAAAGGGUGUAAGUUAAUACCUUACAUCUGUGACGUUACUCGCAGAAGAAGCACCGGCUAACUCCGUGCAGC
rnacentral:rRNA from 1 species